AUACGUAGGCGGCAAGCGUUAUCCGGAUUUAUUGGGCGUAAAGCGAGCGCAGGCGGUUUUUUAAGUCUGAUGUGAAAGCCCUCGGCUUAACCGAGGAAGCGCAUCGGAAACUGGGAAACUUGAGUGCAGAAGAGGACAGUGGAACUCCAUGUGUAGCGGUGAAAUGCGUAGAUAUAUGGAAGAACACCAGUGGCGAAAGCGGCUCUCUGGUCUGUAACUGACGCUGAGGUUCGAAAGCGUGGGGAGCGAACAGGAUUAGAUACCCUGGUAGUCCACGCUGUAAACGAUGAAUGCUAGGUGUUGGAGGGUUUCCGCCCUUCGGUGCCGCAGCUAACGCACUAAGCAUUCCGCCUGGGGAGUACGAUCGCAAGAUUGAA
rnacentral:rRNA from 1 species